rnacentral:rRNA from 1 species
UACAGAGGGGGCAAGCGUUAUUCGGAAUUAUUGGGCGUAAAGGGCGCGUAGGCGGCUUGGCAAGUGGAUGGUGAAAUCCCUCGGCUUAACCGAGGAACUGCCAUCCAGACUGCUUUGCUUGAGGCCGGGAGAGGUGAGUGGAAUUCCCAGUGUAGAGGUGAAAUUCGUAGAGAUCGGGUGGAACACCAGUGGCGAAGGCGCCUGUCUGGCUGACAACUGACGCUGAGACUCGAAAGCAUGGGGAGCAAACAGG